rnacentral:rRNA from 1 species
UAGCCUUGACAUUGAUUGAAUACACCAGAGAUGGAGUAGUGCCUUUCGGGGAACAUGAAAACAGGUGCUGCACGGCUGUCGUCAGCUCGUGUCGUGAGAUGUUGGGUUAAGUCCCGCAACGAGCGCAACCCUCGUCCUUAGUUGCCAGCAGGUUAAGCUGGGCACUCUAUUGAGACUGCCUUCGUAAGGAGGAGGAAGGCGGGGACGACGUCAAGUCAUCAUGGCCCUUACGAGUAGGGCUACACACGUGCUACAAUGGCCGGUACAGAGGGUCGCGAAGCCGCGAGGUGGAGCUAAUCUCACAAAGCCGGUCGUAGUCCGGAUUGGAGUCUGCAACUCGACUCCAUGAAGUCGGAAUCGCUAGUAAUCGUGAAUCAGAAUGUCACGGUGAAUACGUUCCCGGGCCU